UCUUCCUCCACCACUGAGACACUUUGGUCUCUCACACCGUCACACUCUUCCUCAGCCGCUGUAAAACAGUGAUACUGUGAUACUGAGCUGAGCCCCUGAGGUCAAGAGAUGUCCAGCCAGUUUAGAGGCAGAAUUGUCUUAAGAAAUUCAGAUUACAGCAAAUUAAAGCAGAAACAGUCAACAAAACAUUUACAGAUAGUGAUAUACUGUUCCACUUUGCUUUCACAAUCCCUAUUGAUCUGCGUGCCUAUGUCACACAGUUGUGCCAUCUUGCGUCUUAGUCCCUACAGUCCAAGCACCCUGUAUCACAGUAUCUCACCUGUCACUUCACCACAGGUAGAUCACUUUCACACAGCCAGGUUUUGCACAUAUUCCAGAUCGUCACAUGGGAAUAUUGCAUGUGUGGCCUGCAGUCUGGGAAAUUCAUUGUAUUUAUCUAUAAAGGCUGUAUAGACUUUGCUUGUAAGAAUGACCAAGUGCUAACGGAGUGUUGUGGAUCUUCUUUAAAAUGAUACUAUUGUGUAUUUUCAGAACUCAGAUUUACAGGCAAUACAAUUGCUGACUUAUGUCGUUCUGGUAUCCUCAUGGAUACUUUGACUUCACAUUCUGGUUGUGCUGCAUUUCAGAGCUAAGGCUCAGUUUUAAUUUGUUUUUUUCUUACUAAUUGUAACUGGUUUACUCUUGAUAUAGGAAAAUCUAUAUAUUCAAUAAAUUAGAAAUUCAAAGUUGUUUCCAAAUUAACUUGCUCUCUUUCUUCUUCUCUUUCUUUCUCACAACACUUUCAAAUUGGGAACAAAUAUGCUCUCUUGCUCUCAUUACUUUUCAAUGCAUAAUCCUUUGACUCCCACUGAUAUUAUUGCCACCUGUAGUUUUCAAUGAUGCUGUUAUAUAACACAUCUGAAUUUAAAGUUAUGAAGCAAAACAGUGUGAAAGAAAACCUUUUCUUAUUCCUUACAGUUGACUUUUCCAUUUUUUAAAUGAAAGCCUUAGUUUCAAAUGUAAAACUAAGUAGCUCAAAUAUUUUUGACAUUUGCAUUUCUCAUCAUGUCAAACACAAAGCACUGCCUGUGUGUUAUAUCAGUUAAUUCUCUCAAAAUCUUCAGCACGUACUGUGUGUUCAAUAAGCUCACUGUGAAAUUAGCAUUCUUUAAUAAACAGCAGUGAUUACAGUUAAUUACUGAUUAAUACUAUACUGAUUAAUAAAGGGAGCCAGCAAUUACAGUAUGUCAGUGACUGUGUGGUACAAUGAUAUGAGUGUGAAUUAAAGGAUUUUGUAUCAGCUAGGGCAGUGUAAGUGAAGCCAUUUGAAAAACCACAUUGAGCUGUGCUGCUGAGGAAUAACACAGUUCAAUGAUUCUGUGAAGCUUUUCGAGAGAAGAAAAUGACUUCACUCUGCCAAUAAAUCCAAAUGGCACAAAUAAGACUUCAAUUACAUGCUAUACCACAUCAAAUGGUCACAUAGAAUGAAGUCUCCUAUGUGUAGCUGUGGUUACACAAGUCUGAAUGCUGCUGUUGUGAUAGCUGAAUGUCACAGUGUGUCAUUAGGAAUUUUUUGGACGCCUGGGCUGUUGUUGGUUGCUGCCCUUCAGUAAUGUUCUGUUUGACCCUCAAUCCCAUCCGUCUCACUCUGCAAGAAACUGUUUCCAUGGCUACCAUUCACAGUCACUUUCUGGGCCUCAGCAUCUGGCAUAUACAUCUGCAUACAAAAAGGGAAAGAUGUAGUGAUACCCUCCAGUUUUACAGAUGUGUUCCUGGUGCAAAUUUCCAGAGGGUAUAGAAGAUUACCCAGCAGAGGUUAGGGGCCAAGGAAACCUCUGCUCUGUCUUCAUCCAUACUCAUUAGAACUAUCACGGCCACUGCAAAAGCAUAUUGAGCUGUUGUUUUUAUCACUGCUUGCUUGAUUCUUCUAUGAGCAAUCUGAUGAAGACCUGGUUCAGUUUUGACACUGCACAUUCCCAAGGAAUAGCAGUGAUAUACCACCAUGAGAUGAUAUACCACCAUCUAGUGGAAGGUAACGACCCUCACCACGGUCAAAGCAGGGAAAGAAAGAUUUGUAUAAUUUACCGUUUCGUACAAGUGUCACGUAGCACACCGCUAUUUCAGAGGGUCGUAGCGUUUUAAAAUUGGCAAAACCGUCUCCGCAGAAGAUUUUCCAAUCUGUGCUCAGCAUUUGCUUGGCCUGCAUUAUAAAUAUCAGCCGUUCUGCAUGACAGCCAGCAUCAGGCCUUGAAUAUAUCACCAGCUCCAGCUGCCAUGUGUUUGUGCCUGUUCCAUACGAUGCCUUGUUUUUUGUCACAGAUGCAUCACCUUCAUGUCAAAGCUGCUUAUUUUAAUGUCAACAGACUUGGUCUAAGGAAGAAUCAGGCACUGUCACCUAGAUAUCUGCAUCAUAAAAUUAAUGGAUAACAGCUUUUGAAGCACACCCCCCUCAUUAACUCAUUUUAAUCUGUGGUUGAACUGUCACUUGCGACAACUGAUACAAAAUCUAAAUAAGCCAAAAUUGCUGAAUGUUGCUGACCUCUGGUCUGCUGGUACAGCACGGGAAAGAUUGUGCAUGAUACUCUGUAGCUCGUAUUAAAUAGUCAACUAAAAUUAAAACAAACCCGUCGUAUAUAUCAAAAGUAUUUUACGUUUUGUUUCACGCAUUGCCAAAAGUUACGCUUUUGUUUGUUUUAAGUUACACUUCGAAGGUUUUUUUCACUCAGCUGACCAGUCCCUGCCAGUCCUUAAGGGAGCAGUAAGACUGUAUAUGCCACAUGCGCCAUGUGUGUGGAGAUGGUGUUGGUUGGUCUUGGGUGGGGUGGGCUGCAGGUGAAUGGAUACAGCUAUCCUCCAGAGUCCCCAAUGAAUGCGUGCAUGCUCCAGUACUAACCCACCCUGAGAGAAACUGCCCUGCUCCAGAAGCAGAAGUGGCCUGGUGUGGAACAAGAGCCUGUCUCUGUCAAGCUAACCAGAAAGCAUGGGCUCUGUUCUGAUCUUCUGUGUCCAAGACCACAGAAAGUGAAAAUGGAUAAAGACCUUUCACCAUAAGUAGCACCUCUCACUAUAGGAAUUCAUAUUUGUUUCUCAGUAGUCCUUCAUAAAUAAAGGUUAGUGGACACAACUGUAGCACUCUGCCACAGAGGAAGCUAGAUAUUGUGAUCAGUGUAAUCUGUAAUUCAUGAAACACACGCUGUGACUGAGCUGCAGUUGAAUAGAUGGCGACAGUUAUAAGCCUACAUGGAUUCUUAAAUCAAAGCAUUGUUUUUCCAAUUAAUUCAUAUUGCAGAACAUACUGAUAAGCAUGAUUCCAUACUGUACAUUUUGCUUUCAAUGAAACAUGAUUAAGGUCUUCAUCCCAUUGUCUUCUCUGCUCAUAGGUCUGAGCCUUGAACACCUCUCUCUUUCAGCUCUAUAUUUGAUUGCCUAACUAAGCAUAGUGAAAGGCCACCCCUGACAUUACCUAUUAAUACCAAAUACGUCGACGUCCACAGGAGAUACACCAGUCUGCCACCCCGUUUUCACAGUGGUGGUCACGUUGUUACUAUACUUUUUACUGCACUUUCAGUGUCAAGCGCCAACACAGCUCUCAGACUGUGGAGCAGACUGAGAGUCUUUCUCAGUGCAGUAUACAAGCUUCUGCUGUGUCAGUCUGAGUGGAGAGCACAUUCUAGACUCAUGAAAAUGCAGCGUUUGAAUGCAGGAUCUCUGUCACAUUAGCGCAUCAGACUCCCAGUUGCACGAGGAACCGAGGAAGGGAAUGGCUGGAAAGCUCCACCAAGGCUUGCCUGCUUCAUAAAUCUGCCUGUCCAAAUCUUGAGUUGUCCAACAGGCAUGAUCAAGUAAUUAAACCACAGGCAGUGCUUACUGACCAUGGGGUCUGUCAAUAACAGAUUUCAAAGGAGUAACUUCAAUUACAAGAAUGGACUCAAGCACUUUCAGAGAGCUUUGCUUGAAUUCCUUUUUUUCCCCAAAUAAGGGGUGGCCUUUGACUGAAAAUCCCCCGCCCCAGAAAAAAACAAUCACUGUGGCCUGUGUAAUUCACUCUUAACACUAUUGGUUUGCGUCAUCUGAAGGAAAGCAAAUGGAUGUGUUUCUGACUUGUUACUGUAUGUAUGUUUGUUUUGUUUGUUUUAAAGGAAUGCUUAACAAAAAAAGCCCUUAGGGGAAGAGAUGAUACAGCAGCUCCUUUCACUGGAGUUUAGUCCACACAGGAAAGGAGAAGCCUAUUGAAUGGCAGCCCUACAUGGCGCCCAGAGUGACAGCAGCUGUAGGAGGGUUUGUUGCUUUAGUAGAACCUAAGAUAGCUAGGAUACACUUGCUGGUAUUCAGAAAAUGAUCUGGAAGGGGCAUCUGCAGCAUACAUGUAUUUUACCAAGACUAUCCAUCCAAACACCUUCUAACCCACGUGAACACGGGAAGAACAUACAAGCUCCACACAGACAGCACCCCUGGAACUGAACCCAGGAUCCCAGCACUGCUGAUCACUGCGCCACCAUGUCUCUCCUUCCCAUACACACCAGAUCAAUAACCUGAUUAAUAACAAUCCAAUCACCAGGUCGAUAAAUAUAACAAAGCCAGUACAGCCAAAAAUAUUAUAACAAAAUAUGACUAAUAACAAAGCCAGUACAGCCAAACUAUGAAAGGUAUUUGUCACCAAAUGAGUUUGGUUUCUUAAAACACACUAAAACCUUAGUUAAACAGAAUAAUAGGGGAAAGGGAUGUCUGUUAUUGCUGAAUACAUGUUAAAAAACGUUAAAUAAUGUUAAAUAUUUAUACAAGAGAAGAUAUACAUUCAGUAUAUACCUUAUAUGCUCCAUUUUUUAUUUUUUAACAUUUUCAAUUAACAUAGUCAAUGUAAAUUGUUCAUGUGUCUUUUUAUCGUAAAUAUACCAUCUCUUUAUUUCAUGACCCAUAAAUAUACUGUAUAAAAUUAAUCAAAGCAUUCAAAACACAAUAUCCAUGGUAAGCCAUUCACCUACCGUUAAUUCAGGGAAAGUCCAGCAUUUCUGAUUUGACAAAAUUCCCCUUUAGCAGGUUUUGUCUGUUAAAUCCAAUGUCUGCGAAAGCACAGUCCGUUAAACAGAGAGUUUAUUGAAUUCAUCGAGAGUGGUGGUUAGGAAAUCAAGUGGGAAAACACGAUAGACCUGUUCAGAUGUUUAGGAAAUAGGAUGAAGUAAGAUUCUUUCUGGUGUAAGGCAGGUGAUGACGGUGUUGCACCCAAACUUCUGUUUACUGGGGAGGAGACUGUAUUAUCUCUUGAUCAAAAGGGCUUUGUUGUGUGUGCAUUCCCUAAGAAUGCAAGUCAAACGGUACCAUGAGCAAGGCAUUCUUAAAAAUCUGUAUCACUUCCCACAUCCCACGCGGAUGGGGAGACAGAUCACCUGCUGUCACCAGCUCUGCAUACAGCAAAAUUCUGUAGUGAGCGAAACGCUCUCCUGACCCGCUUGGAUACCACCCCGCCACAGACCCUUGCACCGGACCGCCUGUACCCUGUACCCCGAAGGAGCUGGGGAGACUCGUUCUGCAGAGUGAUGUCGCAGCUCAGCGCGGCACGCGGUGCCGGGCUCCGAAUGCCUUGCCUUGGUCUGCCGCUUGACGCCAGGUUCGGAGCUGCAGGGGGGAAUGCGAAGGGGUGUUUUUUUUUAGGGGCUGGAGACUUGACGUCAUGAGCAUGCUGCAACCCUGCCUUCGCUCAGCGCAUGGCCGGUCUCGGGGAGGGGCGGGCUGGUAUGGCGAGUUAACCCUCUAACUGCCGAAGCCCAAGCACUGCGGCGAGCUCUGGCUGUGCCCUACACCUUGACAGCUGUAUCUAUUUUCCACAGGGGGACGGGAUACACCAAAUCCGGGAGGCGCUGAAGAUUUUAGCCGAGAGGGUUUUAAUCCUUGAGACUAUGAUUGGUAUCCAUGAACCGGACGUUGGGUCGGGUGAGGGCCAAUAUGGUACCCCGCUUCCUGGCUUCUACCGGGAUAAACGUUCCAAGAUCUCUGCCUACCAGGCCCUCUCUUCAACAUUAUCCCGGGAGGCCGAAGAGGAAAAAUGAUCCCGGGUGCCAAACGUCCUGGACAGUAUACCACCUGAAAGAUCAUCCGGACCCCACUGGCACACAUCACUGCCAAGUUCCUCUCCAAGCUCAUGGACAAUGGGAUUCACUCAGCUUGCUGCCUAGUGCUGCUGGCAGGCUUAGGGCACCUUGGGGAAAGCUUUCUGGUGCUCGCUGAUAAUACAAUGAGUUCACUUGCACCUCUUUCUACCCCUACAGACAAGCACGGCUCUUUACGACAUAAAAACGGCUUAAACAUUUUAAAAAUGCCAGGCAAACUGCAAAUGCUGUGCUGUGGAUGACCUGAAACAAUUCAAUUAGCAAUGCACAAUCUGCAGAUAAAAAAACAAUUCCCUGUUCAACUUUCGAACCAUAAUCCAAGAACAACAAGCAACCGACUCACAAAUACUAUAGGAAGUUCAAUGCAAAUUCCUGACUGGAGCGAAUACCUUUUCGGGAUAUAGCUGUGAAAGAGAAAACAUUUGUCGUUGAUUCUGAAACGUGGGGGCACUUCAGGAAAAAAUGGAACUAGAAAAUAUGUAAGCAUGUUUUUUUUUCUCCCGACUGCUCUACGAAAGAAACCCUGUUGCUGCAAGUUGAACAACAUAGAGUGCUGCUCUCCUGGGCUGCUUGCUCUUAUUUACAAAACGCUUUAUUCCCUUCGGACAACCCUUAAUCCCAUGCUCUUAACCCGUAAGUUUAUCCCAAGCAGCUGGAGAGAUACACAGGGAUGUGGUUUUUGCUCAGCAGCCGGUUGCUUCAAUCACAGAAAUCAGAUCUCCUCUGGAACAUCUGCUGGUACAGGAUGCAAUAAGCAUUCAGUCCUGAGCAGUAACCAGCCCUCCUGAAGGCUCCCCAAUGGAAAAGGACUCCUGCCUCUCCGCACAGUAAACAGUCAGGACAAGCUGUUACCUGCUUUUAUACAGAGACUCCAAUGUGUCCCCCUGGUUGGAUGUUUAUAAAGAUGGGGGCAUUAUUUUCUUGCUGGGGAAGAUAGUGUUCUUCACAUAGAACUUAAAGUUCCUGCAUUGCUCACCUAUGGCAGUCUAUUUACAGAAGUCCUUCAUUUGUUACCUUAUGAUGGGAAGAGAACAUGAUUUUGCUACGUGAAUAUCUUUGUAAUUAGUACCACUAGUAAAGUUUUUUUUAGUUUGAUUUGCAAGUCAUUAAACCUCUUUGAUUUUUUUAUUGAAAUAAAACUGUUUUGUGUAUUAUUUAAAAAUAAUCCUUAGCAUUUUUUAACUUGUCACCUUGAUUCCCCUUAACAUUUUACUACCAUGUGUAUUUUUUAGUGUUUUUUUUUUCAAAAUCAUUCACAACGUUCUGUACCCAUGUAAUCCAAAACCCAUUGCUGGAAAUGGAAUGAUUGUUGGAAAUUAAAGAUGUUAUUUUUGCCCCAUGA